GAUGAACGCUGGCGGCGUGCCUAAUACAUGCAAGUCGAGCGGACCAAAGAGAGCUUGCUCUCUGAGGUUAGCGGCGGACGGGUGAGUAACACGUGGGUAACCUGCCUGUAAGACGGGGAUAACUUCGGGAAACCGAAGCUAAUACCGGAUGAUAAAGAGAAACGCCUGUUUCUUUUUUGAAAGUCGGCCUUGUGCUGACGCUUACAGAUGGGCCCGCGGCGCAUUAGCUAGUUGGUGAGGUAACGGCUCACCAAGGCGACGAUGCGUAGCCGACCUGAGAGGGUGAUCGGCCACACGGGGACUGAGACACGGCCCAGACUCCUACGGGAGGCAGCAGUAGGGAAUCUUCGGCAAUGGACGAAAGUCUGACCGAGCAACGCCGCGUGAGCGAUGAAGGCCUUCGGGUCGUAAAGCUCUGUUGUCAGAGAAGAACAAGUACCGGAGUAACUGCCGGUACCUUGACGGUACCUGACCAGAAAGCCACAGCUAACUACGUGCCAGCCGCCGCCGUAACAC
rnacentral:rRNA from 1 species